rnacentral:rRNA from 1 species
UACGGAGGGUGCGAGCGUUGUCCGGAAUCACUGGGCGUAAAGGGCGCGUAGGCGGCCUGGUAAGUAGGGGGUGAAAUCCUGCGGCUUAACCGCAGGGCUGCCUUCUAAACUGUCAGGCUGGAGCACAGUAGAGGCAGGUGGAAUUCCCGGUGUAGUGGUGGAAUGCGUAGAGAUCGGGAGGAACACCAGUGGCGAAGGCGGCGACCUGGACCUAUGCUGACGCUGAGGCGCGAAAGCGUGGGGAGCGAUCCGG